AAAGCAUGGAGUGGCCAGCACAGUCUCCAGACUUAAACCCCAUUGAGCUGGUUUGGGAUGAAAUGGACAGAAGAGUGAAAGCAAAGCACUUAGAAAUGCAU